ACAGCUGCUUUGCCUCAGGCAUAAAUCAGAAGAGGAAAACCAGCUUCUGGACCCGGAGGGAGGAUGAAACGGAAUAGGAAUUGAGGGAAGUGGAAGGGAAGACUAAGGGACCCCUGGAGAGUCCCUACUAAGCCAGACAUGACAAACAAAAGUCCUCUGCUACUGGGGAAGACAGAACAGAGAAGCCAGCAGGGGAAGAAAAAGAUGAUGCUGUUCUUGAUGCCUCAAAAACGGCAAGGGAGAACCCAGGCAACUGAUAUACACACCCUUGGAACAAAUCUACCCCAGAAGUACAAGACACACACUUCAAAUUCAUGGAAUAAAUGGGAGCUCCUGGCCACAGUGGGAGCCAUGAUCUCUCUCCUUUAUACAUGGCUGUAUUCCCAGAGCUUUCAUUUCCAUGUGGCACAUUUUUAUGCUCAUUUUGGGUAAAGAUACCUGAAAGGUAAGGUAACUUUGUUUCUCUGGUGCUAUUCCACUGGGGGAAAAGAGGUGGGGAGAGGUUUGCUGGUUAGAGUUCUAAAACUAAUGGCAAAAACAUUUUGCCAAUUAACUUUGCACCAACCCGAUAUAUCUGUAGACUUUUAAGUCUUAGCAUUCAGCAGUAAACUGAGUCCAUUUUUAAAAAUAUAAUACCUUUUGUUUACCUAGGAGCUGGUGUAGUGAAGGAUGAAGAGAAGGCAAUGCAAUGGUUUAGGUAAGAUGAUGACAUCUGCCAAAAAGCAGAACUCCAGAGUUACCUGUUCAGAAAGUACAGGUGGAGCAUCCCUUAUCCGAGCUGCUUGAGACCAGAAGUGUUUUGGAUCUUGGAUUUUUUUUUUUUUUGAAAUAUUUGUAUUAUACUAACUGGUUGAGCAUCUCUAACCUGAAAAUCCAGAAUCUGAAAUGCUCCAGUGAGAUUUUUCUUUGAGUGUCAUGUUGAUACUCCAAAAGUUUCAGAUUUUGGAGCAUUUCAGAUUUCAGAUUUUCUGUUUAGGGAUGCUCAACCUAUGCUUAAAUAGAAAACCUUAUGAUUUUGGUGCUUUUUCCCUAGAGCAAAAAUAAGCUAGAGAUCUAAAAUCUCUUAAUAUUAAAGUCUUGCUACCCUCUUUACUUUUUCCACUUGGUGAUGAGGUAGGAGUACUGGUGGGGCUGUUGAGAGGGUGGGGCCAGUGCAUUUUAAAACAGUCUACACAAUGUAAGCAAACAGCAGAUUAGAUUCAAAAGAGUCGAAGUGGGGAAUGUGGACCAAUCUAGGUCAAUAUUCAGGAUGUCAAUAAAUUUAUUAACAAUGCUCUGUGUUAACAUUACUUUGGUUAUUAAGGUUUUGAGCUCUUGACUAUAAAACAUACACUAAUUUGAAAUUUACAAACUGGGCUAUGUGUUAGAAUCACCUGGAAAACUUCUGAAAAAUACUGAAGCCCAGUUCCAGAUUGAUUUAAAUGAGCAGAAAAAGUUCCCUAGAAGAGUGUAAUAUGCUGCCAGCUCAAACUACUCCAGAAGUCUAUAAUGGUUAAUAAAGUAAACAUGAACCAGCAGAAGAAGGCAUUUCAGGAACAUAGUCUAAAGCUUAAAAUCGAUAUUCUGAUAAAGUUCACCUGACAACAGAAGAAACACCUUUGAGAAUCAGGAAGGGAGUGACAUGGUUCCAAAGUGGCAAAGUGUCAUUGGUGAUUAACUGCACUUGACUGAAGCUCUUGCCACUGGGAGUAUAGUCCAUACACCCACAGCAUUGGCAUCGCCAGGUGGGUACUUGGUAGGAAUGCUGCCUCUGAGGCCCUAAUGCAGACCCACUGAAGUAGAAUCUUCAUUUUGAUAAGAUCCUGGGGUGACUGAUAUGCAC
ensembl:lncRNA